rnacentral:rRNA from 1 species
GAUGAACGCUGGCGGCGUGCCUAAUACAUGCAAGUCGAGCGAACGGACGAGAAGCUUGCUUCUCUGAUGUUAGCGGCGGACGGGUGAGUAACACGUGGAUAACCUACCUAUAAGACUGGGAUAACUUCGGGAAACCGGAGCUAAUACCGGAUAAUAUUUUGAACCGCAUGGUUCAAAAGUGAAAGACGGUCUUGCUGUCACUUAUAGAUGGAUCCGCGCUGCAUUAGCUAGUUGGUAAGGUAACGGCUUACCAAGGCAACGAUGCAUAGCCGACCUGAGAGGGUGAUCGGCCACACUGGAACUGAGACACGGUCCAGACUCCUACGGGAGGCAGCAGUAGGGAAUCUUCCGCAAUGGGCGAAAGCCUGACGGAGCAACGCCGCGUGAGUGAUGAAGGUCUUCGGAUCGUAAAACUCUGUUAUUAGGGAAGAACAUAUGUGUAGUAACCGUGCACAUCUUGACGGUACCUAAUCAGAAAGCCACGGCUAACUACGUG